rnacentral:hammerhead_ribozyme from 1 species
AGUUGGUGGAUGAGUCCCAAAUAAGACGAAAUGCGCAUCCUAGAU